UCGGACGGCUCAGUAAAUCAGUUAUAAUCUGCUCGAUUGUAAUGGUUAUUGGAUAACCGUGGGAAAUCUAGAGCUAAUACAUGCAAUUUAAGGUACGAGCAAUCGUGCCUAUGGCAUUUAUUAGAUAAUUACCAACCUUAGGUUAAUACCUAUGUGGUGAAUCUAGAUAACUUUGCAGACCGUAUGGCCUAGAGCUGACGCAUUUCGAUUGAAUUUCUGCCCUAUCAACUAUUGUCGGUAGUGUAGUGGACUACCGAGGUUUUUACGGGUGACGGGGGAUCAGGGUUCGAUUCCGGAGAGGGAGCCUGAGAAAUGGCUACCACAUCCAAGGGUGGCAGCAGGCGCGCAAAUUACCCAAUCCAGACAAUGGGAGGUGGUGACNACAAGUACCGGAUGACGAUCUAAGAUUGUCAAUCUGGAAUGGAAUCGAUUUAAGCAAUCGGUUGAGAACGACUGGAGGGCAAGCCUGGUGCCAGCAGCCGCGGUAAUUCCAGCUCCAGUAGCGUAUNUCAAAGUUGCUGCGCUUAAAACGCUCGUAGUUGGAUCACAGACUGCUCGUCGGUGAGUGAUGAGGUGAAAUCAUUAUCGGAGAAUCGCUUUGUGUCAUCACAGGGUUGAUAAUUUGAAGGGUUUAACUUUGUUACCGUAAGCCGAUGGGCAGUAAUUGCACGUGAGGAUAGACAUUGGCCUUGAAUGAGCUGGUGUUUGUGUCUCGCGGAGUGUGCCUUGAGUAAAUCAGAGUGCUUAAAGCAGGCUUUACGCUUGAAUGUUAUUUAGCAUGGAACGAACAAUUGUGUAUGGUGUAUACUGAAAUGCAUUUUGAACAUUGUUCAAUUUCAUCAGUAUACGACACCGACCACCAAUUACGAAUGUUGGUUUCGUAUUGGGGUAUUGAUUAAGAGGAGCGGUUGGGGGCAUUGGUAUUUGGCAGCGAGAGGUGAAAUUCUUGGACCUGCCAACGACUAACAAAUGCGAAGGCAUCUGUCCAGACCGUAUCCAUUAAUCAAGAACGAUAGUGAAAGGUUCGAAGACGAUCAGAUACCGUCCUAGUUUUCACAGUAAACUAUGCCGACCCGGGAUCAGUUUGGAGCUGUGUUCCAUGCUCGGAGUUGGUCCCCCUGGGAAACCUAAAGUUUUUCGGUUGCGGGGGGAGUAUGGUCGCAAGGCUGAAACUUAAAGGAAUUGACGGAAGGGCACCACCAGGGGUGGAGCCUGCGGCUUUUUGACUCAACACGGGAAAACUUACCUGGUCCGGACAUCCGAAGGAUACACAGACCGAUAGAUCUUUGUUGAUGGGGUGAAAAGUGGUGCAUGGCCGUUCUUAGUUCGUGGAGUGAUCUGUCAGGCCAAACCCGGUAACGAACGAGACUACAGUCUCCAUUUGACGGAUCGGAGAUGGUUGGUUAUGUCAGCAAUGAUGUAACCGACUGUAGGCAUCGCUGGCGAGCUACUGGGAUGCUUCGGCGGACUUGUAGUGAGUUAGCGUUCCCUCCGGUUGCAUAGUGCGCUCGCAAGAGUACAUUAUAUCAUGGAGAGACAGCGGAAUAUAUUCCAAAAUCCGAGGAAGUGUAGCUAUAACAGGUCCGUGAUGCCCUUAGAUGUUCAGGGCUGCACGCGCGCUACAAUGAUAUCAGCAACGAGUUUUUGAAUCGAAAGAUUUGAGUAAUCUUGCAAUUGAUAUCGUGAAGGGGAUCGAUGUUUGUAAUAACGUCGUGAAAUAGGAAUCCCUAGUACGUGCGAUUCAUUUAAAUCGCGCGGAUUGCGUCCCUGCCCUUUGUACACACCGCCCGUCG
rnacentral:rRNA from 1 species